rnacentral:rRNA from 1 species
UGAGGAAUAUUGGUCAAUGGUCGCUAGACUGAACCAGCCAAGUAGCGUGCGGGAUGAAGGCCCUCCGGGUCGUAAACCGCUUUUAGACGGGGAUAAAAGGGCGUACGUGUACGCCGUAUUGCAUGUACCGUCAGAAAAACGGACCGGCUAAUUCCGUGCCAGCAGCCGCGGUAAUACGGAGGAUGCGAGCGUUAUCCGGAUUUAUUGGGUUUAAAGGGUGCGCAGGCGGAGUGCCAAGUCAGCGGUAAAAUUUCGGGGCUCAACCCCGGCGAGCCGUUGAAACUGACGCCCUUGAGUGCGCGAGAAGUAUGCGGAAUGCGUGGUGUAGCGGUGAAAUGCAUAGAUAUCACGCAGAACUCCGAUUGCGAAGGCAGCAUACCGGCGCGCAACUGACGCUCAUGCACGAAAGCGUGGGUAUCGAACAGGAUUAGAUACC